GCUGCGGAAGGAUCAUUAACGAGUUAGGGUCUCACUGGCCCGACCUCCCAACCCUAUGUUUAACUACCUUCUGUUGCUUCGGCGGGCCCGUCCACCAGGACCGCCGGGGGACCGUAAAACGUCCUCUGGCCCGUGCCCGCCGGUGGCCUCUUAACAAAAUUCUUGAAUAAUCGUGUUCUUGUCUGAGUUCAAAUCUUGAAUUACAAGUAAAAACUUUCAACAACGGAUCUCUUGGUUCUGGCAUCGAUGAAGAACGCAGCGAAAUGCGAUAAGUAAUGCGAAUUGCAGAAUUCUAGUGAGUCAUCGAAUCUUUGAACGCACAUUGCGCCCUUUGGUAUUCCGAAGGGCAUGCCUGUUCGAGCGUCAUUAUCACCCCUCAAGCCCCCGUGGUUUGGUGUUGGACGGUUGGCCUUUUAACCAAGGCCCCUCCCAAAGUGAAUGACGGCGGCUUGUCAGACCCCCGGUACACUGAGCUUCUUUAUUGAGCACGUAUCGGUCUUUAGUGGUUGGCAGGUUCCGGUCUCUUUUGUUCCCGUCAUGGGACACCUUUUUUCAAGGUUGACCUCGGAUCCGGUAGGGAUACCCGCUGAACUUAAGCAUAUCAAU
rnacentral:rRNA from 1 species